UGCAAGUCGAACGGUAGCAGGAAGUGCUUGCACUUCGCUGACGAGUGGCGGACGGGUGAGUAAUGCUUGGGAACUUGCCUUUAGGUGGGGGAUAACAGUUGGAAACGACUGCUAAUACCGCAUAAUGUCUACGGACCAAAGGGGGCUUCGGCUCUCGCCUUGAGAGAGGCCCAAGUGAGAUUAGCUAGUUGGUGGGGUAAAGGCCUACCAAGGCAACGAUCUCUAGCUGUUCUGAGAGGAAGAUCAGCCACACUGGGACUGAGACACGGCCCAGACUCCUACGGGAGGCAGCAGUGGGGAAUAUUGCACAAUGGGGGAAACCCUGAUGCAGCCAUGCCGCGUGUGUGAAGAAGGCCUUCGGGUUGUAAAGCACUUUCAGUUGUGAGGAAAAGUUAGUAGUUAAUACCUGCUAGCCGUGACGUUAACAACAGAAGAAGCACCGGCUAACUCCGUGCCAGCAGCCGCGGUAAUACGGAGGGUGCGAGCGUUAAUCGGAAUUACUGGGCGUAAAGCGCACGCAGGCGGUUUGUUAAGCUAGAUGUGAAAGCCCCGGGCUCAACCUGGGAUGGUCAUUUAGAACUGGCAGACUAGAGUCUUGGAGAGGGGAGUGGAAUUCCAGGUGUAGCGGUGAAAUGCGUAGAUAUCUGGAGGAACAUCAGUGGCGAAGGCGACUCCCUGGCCAAAGACUGACGCUCAUGUGCGAAAGUGUGGGUAGCGAACAGGAUUAGAUACCCUGGUAGUCCACACCGUAAACGCUGUCUACUAGCUGUGUGUGUCUUUAAGACGUGCGUAGCGAAGCUAACGCGCUAAGUAGACCGCCUGGGGAGUACGGCCGCAAGGUUAAAACUCAAAUGAAUUGACGGGGGCCCGCUCAAGCGGUGAAGCAUGGGUUUAAUUCGAUGCAACGCGAAGAACCUUACCUACCCUUGACAUGCUGAAAGUUAUAAAGAUAAGUUCGGG
rnacentral:rRNA from 1 species